UAAGGAUACCCAAAUUAAAAUUGACUUUCCUAAUUCAUCGUACCCGUAAAAUAGCUAUACCUAGCUAUAUAAGAACUGAAAGGGAAAAUUUCUAUAUGAGAAAAUAUCCAACGAGUGAUUCGGGAAAGAUUCUGACGAGCCCCUCAGUAUUGAGUAAUUAAAUGUUUUAGCAUGGCUGGGGAACAUACUGUAGAUGAAGUAGAGAGAGUGAAUAUGGUAGAGACAGCGGCAAACAAUUCAGAAUCUGUGUGGGAGAAGACACCGUAUCAUUUAAUGGAGGAAAUCUUGGAGUAUCUUCCAUUAGAAUCUGUUUUCCGCUUUUGCAUUGUGUCCAAAGAGUGGAAUUCUCUUUUGUCUUCUGAAAGAUUUCAUGUUCCUCAGCUGGAGAGAUUUGUACUUAGUAAGGGAAUGCAUGCAGUCAAUGUCAGCUUUGCGCGUUCUCUGGGUCAGCUUCCUGCGCACAUUGUGGAUGAUAUAUUACAGAUGUUGUAAGUGGGUUUUCUUCAGACAGAGGGAUGCUUGUAGAAUUCUCUUAGUUCUGCUGAAAUUUUGUGACCCAAUUGUUUCGUAUAUAUAAAGGUCCCAGAUUUGGUGGUUGCAAACUAGAAUCUGAACAUUUAUAUUCAGAAGCUGGCUAUUAGAGGAUGAAAAGUUGAACAAUUGUGAAUGAGUGAUGGGAUUGUUUUGCCUCACAAGUUGGUCAACCAUAUAUCAGUGAUUUGACACUUUAUCAUGUAAAAUUGUACAAAUUGUAAUACAAUAUUUUAUAUUUGUUUUAUAAAAUUGUACAAAUAUUAAUAUAAUCAUUUUACAAUUGUAUUUUA